GAUGAACGCUGGCGGCGUGCCUAAUACAUGCAAGUCGAGCGAACAGACGAGGAGCUUGCUCCUCUGACGUUAGCGGCGGACGGGUGAGUAACACGUGGAUAACCUACCUAUAAGACUGGGAUAACUUCGGGAAACCGGAGCUAAUACCGGAUAAUAUAUUGAACCGCAUGGUUCAAUAGUGAAAGACGGUUUUGCUGUCACUUAUAGAUGGAUCCGCGCCGCAUUAGCUAGUUGGUAAGGUAACGGCUUACCAAGGCAACGAUGCGUAGCCGACCUGAGAGGGUGAUCGGCCACACUAGAACUGAGACACGGACCAGACGCCUAUGGGAGGCAGCAGUAGGGAAUCUUCCGCAAUGGGCGAAAGCCUGACGGAGCAACGCCGCGUGAGUGAUGAAGGUCUUCGGAUCGUAAAACUCUGUUAUUAGGGAAGAACAAAUGUGUAAGUAACUAUGCACGCCUUGACGGUACCUAAUCAGAAAGCCACGGCUAACUACGUG
rnacentral:rRNA from 1 species